GCCACCUUAGCUCAGCUGGUAGAGCAGCUGAUUUGUAAUCAGCCGGUCGCUGGUUCGAAUCCGGCAGGUGGCUCGA
rnacentral:tRNA from 2 species